rnacentral:rRNA from 1 species
GUCCCGUCUUGAAACACGGACCAAGGAGUGUAUUGCUAUGGCAAGUCAUUGAUAUUAUUAAUAUCAAAGGCAUAAUGAAAAUAAUUUUAAUCUCAGAUCUUAUGAUUAUAUUAUCAUUAGCGCAUGAGAAACGUAAAUAUAUGAUUUAUUCAUUUUUUGCAGUUAUAGCCAUAGUAGUGCGACCCGAAAGAUGGUGAACUAUACUAGUGCAGGGUGAAGUCAGAAGAAAUUCUGAUGGAAGCUCGAAGCGGUCCUGACGUGCAAAUCGGUCGUCUGACAUUAGUAUAGGGGCGAAAGACUAAUCGAACCAUCUAGUAGCUGGUUCCGGCCGAAGUUUCCCCCAGGAUAGCUGAAACUAUUAUACAGAUACAUCCGGUAAAGCUAAUGUUUAGAGGAAUAGGGGAUAAUAUAUCCUUUAUCUAUUUACAAACUAUAAAUGGGUGUGAUAUUAUGAUUACUUAAUUUGAAUCAUAAUUUCGAUUGUAUAGUUUCAAGUGGGCCAUUUUUGGUAAGCAGAACUGGCGACGUGGGAUGAACCAAAAGUAUUGUUAAAGUGCCUAAAUUUUUGCUCAUCAGACCCCAUAAAAAGUGUUGUUUGAUAUUGACAGCAGGGCGGUGGCCAUGGAAGUCGGAAUCCGCUAAGGAUCGUGUAACAACUCACCUGCCGAAUCAAGCAGCCUUGAAAAUGGAUGGCGCUUGAGCAAAAUACUUAGACAAUACCAUAUAUUUAUAUUUAAAAAAUAAAAUAAAUAUAUGUGUAGGCUGGCGUAGUAAUAGCAUUGAAGGUUAUAAGCGUAAGCUUGACUGGAGCUGUUAUUAGUGCAGAUCUUGGUGAUAGUAGCAAAUACACAAGUGAGAAUCUUGUGGACCGAAGUGGAAAAGGGUUUCACGUCAACAUCAUUUGACUGUGAGUUAGUCGGUCCUAAGCUAAAAUUGAAAAAUUUUUAUUCAUAUAUAGCAAAAGGGAAAUAGAUUAAUAUUUCUAUACUAUCUAUGGAGAUAAUAUAGGAUAAAAACUAUAUUAUGCAUGGUAACAUAAAUGAAAUUAACUACAAUAUAACAAGUUUUGGGUAGAGAUAUCUUCUCUAUUUAAGUUAUUAAAUCUAUGGAAAUUGCUCAGCAAGAGAUAUAGAUGAAAUUUUUAUUAACGUAGAGUACUAACAUUUUGUUGGUAUCCAAAGUGCUUGUUAUAUUACUUAAAAAGUUAAUGGAAGCAUAAUAAAUUUCAUAAAUUAACCGUACCCAUAUCCGCAACAGGUUUCC